rnacentral:misc_RNA from 1 species
GAUGAAGAACGUAGCGAAAUGCGAUAAGUAAUGUGAAUUGCAGAAUUCAGUGAAUCAUCGAAUCUUUGAACGCACAUUGCGCCCUUUGGCAUUCCGAAGGGCAUGCCUGUUCGAGCGUCAUUGCUGCCCUCAAGCACGGCUUGUGUGUUGGGCCUCCGUCCUCCUCCCGGGGGACGGGCCCGAAAGGCAGCGGCGGCACCGCGUCCGGUCCUCGAGCGUAUGGGGCUUCGUCACCCGCUCUUGUAGGCCCGGCCGGCGCUUGCCGACACAUCAAUCUUUUUUCCAGGUUGACCUCGGAUCAGGUAGGGAUACCCGCUGAACUUAAGCAUAUCAAUAAGCGGAGGA